GAUGAAUAACGUAGCGAAAUGCGAUAAGUAAUGUGAAUUGCAGAAUCCAGUGAAUCAUCGAAUCUUUGAACGCACAUUGCGCCCGCCAGCAUUCUGGCGGGCAUGCCUGUUCGAGCGUCAUUUCAACCCUCGACCUCCCUUUGGGGAAGUCGGCGUUGGGGACCGGCAGCACACCGCCGGCCCUGAAAUGGAGUGGCGGCCCGUCCGCGGCGACCUCUGCGUAGUAAUCCAACUCGCACCGGAACCCCGACGCGGCCACGCCGUAAAACACCCAACUUCUGAACGUUGACCUCGAAUCAGGUAGGACUACCCGCUGAACUUAAGCAUAUCAAUAAGCGGAGGA
rnacentral:misc_RNA from 1 species